rnacentral:SRP_RNA from 1 species
GCUGGUGUGGUGGCACAUGCCUGUAGUCCCAGCUACCGGGGAGGCUUAGGUGGGAGGAUCUCUUGAGCCCAGGAGUUCUGGGCUGUAGUGCACUAUGCCGAUCGGGUGUCCACACUAAGUUUGGCAUCAAUAUGGUGACCUCCUGGGAGCGGGGGACCACCAGGUUGCCUAAGGAGGGGUGAACCAGCCCAGGUCGGAAAAGGAGCAGGUCAAAACUCCCGUGCUGAUCAGUAGUGGGAUCGAGCCUGUGAAUAGCCACUGCACUCCAGCCUGGGCAACAUAGCGAGACCCCGUCUCU